rnacentral:rRNA from 1 species
UACGGAAGGCAGCAGUGGGGAAUAUUGCACAAUGGGCGAAAGCCUGAUGCAGCUAUGCCGCGUGUAUGAAGAAGGCCUUAGGGUUGUAAAGUACUUUCAUCGGGGAGGAAAAAACAAAACUAAUAAUUUUAUUUCUUGACGUUACCCGAAAAAGAAGCACCGGCUAACUCCGUGCCAGCAGCCGCGGUAAUACGGAGGGUGCUAGCGUUAAUCAGAAUUACUGGGCGUAAAGAGCACGUAGGUGGUUUUUUUAAGUCAGAUGUGAAAUCCCUGGGCUUAACCUAGGAACUGCAUUUUGAAACUGAAAUACUAGAGUAUCGUAGAGGGAGGUAGAAUUCUAGGUGUAGCGGUGAAAUGCGUAGAUAUCUGGAGGAAUACCUGUGGCGAAAGCGGCCUCCUAAACGAAUACUGACACUGAGGUGCGAAAGCGUGGGGAGC